CCUACGGGAGGCAGCAGUGAGGAAUAUUGGUCAAUGGACGAGAGUCUGAACCAGUCAAGUAGCGUGAAGGAUGACUGCCCUAUGGGUUGUAAACUUCUUUUAUAUGGGAAUAAAAUGUUCCACGUGUGGGAUUUUGUAUGUACCAUAUGAAUAAGGAUCGGCUAACUCCGUGCCAGCAGCCGCGGUAAUACGGAGGAUCCGAGCGUUAUCCGGAUUUAUUGGGUUUAAAGGGAGCGUAGGUGGAUUGUUAAGUCAGUUGUGAAAGUUUGCGGCUCAACCGUAAAAUUGCAGUUGAAACUGGCAGUCUUGAGUACAGUAGAGGUGGGCGGAAUGCGUGGUGUAGCGGUGAAAUGCUUAGAUAUCACGAAGAACUCCGAUUGCGAAGGUAGUUCACUGGACUGCAACUGACACUGAGGCUCGAAAGUGUGGGUAUCAAACAGGAUUAGAUACCCUGGUAGUC
rnacentral:rRNA from 1 species